rnacentral:rRNA from 1 species
UGCACGAACAUUCCGGCGAGACGCCUGUGCUGAGCACUCUGAUUUGCUCAAAGUAAACCAGCCAGCCACGAGCGGCCGCCAGUUAAGGCGACCGACCGAAGACCGGCCCAAAGCCGACGAGCGCAGUACCGCCGGUUAGGGCGGACCACGUCGCCGGCACAGAUCCAACUACGAGCUUUUUAACCGCAGCAAUGGUUCUAUGCAUUUUGAGAGCUGGAAUUACCGCGGCUGCUGGCACCAGACUUGCCCUCUCAUUGAUACUCGUUAAAGGGUUUAAGUUGUACCCAUUCCAAUGGCCGGCCUCAAAGAGAACGGCCUUGUUAUUUUUCGUCACUACCUCCUCGAACCGAGAGUGGGUAAUUUGCGCGCCUGCUGCCAUCCUUAGACGUAGUGGCCA